rnacentral:rRNA from 1 species
CUUAACACAUGCAAGUCGAGGGGCAUCAUGUCGGUUGCUUGCAACCGAUGAUGGCGACCUCCGCACGGGUGAGUAACGCGUAUCCAACCUUCCGCACACUAAGGGAUAACCCGUUGAAAGACGGCCUAAUACCUUAUGUUCUCCACGGCAGACAUCUAAUGUGGAGCAAAGAUUCAUCGGUGUGUGAUGGGGAUGCGUCUGAUUAGGCAGUUGGCGGGGUAACGGCCCACCAAACCGACGAUCAGUAGGGGUUCUGAGAGGAAGGUCCCCCACAUUGGAACUGAGACACGGUCCAAACUCCUACGGGAGGCAGCAGUGAGGAAUAUUGGUCAAUGGGCGAGAGCCUGAACCAGCCAAGUAGCGUGCAGGACGACGGCCCUAUGGGUUGUAAACUGCUUUUAUGCGGGGAUAAAACGCGGGACGUGUCCCGCCUUGCAGGUACCGCAUGAAUAAGGACCGGCUAAUUCCGUGCCAGCAGCCGCGGUAAUACGGAAGGUCCGGGCGUUAUCCGGAUUUAUUGGGUUUAAAGGGAGCGUAGGCCGCUUUGUAAGCGUGUUGUGAAAUUUGCCGGCUCAACCGGUAACUUGCAGCGCGAACUGCAGAGCUUGAGUGUGCGCAACGUUGGCGGAAUUCGUCGUGUAGCGGUGAAAUGCUUAGAUAUGACGAAGAACUCCGAUUGCGAAGGCAGCUGACGGGAGCACUACUGACGCUGAAGCUCGAAAGUGCGGGUAUCGAACAGGAUUAGAUACCCUGGUAGUCCGCACGGUAAACGAUAAAUGCCCAGCUGUUUGCACAUAGUUGCAAGCGGCCAAGCGAAAACGCUUAAGCAUCCCACCUGGGGAAGGACGCAGGCUCCGGUGAAACUCUAAGGCAUCGACGGGGGCCCGCACACAGCGGAGAGAACAUGUGGUAUAAUUCGAUGACCUGAGAGGAACCUUACCCGGACUUGAAAUGCAAGAGAACAAUCCAGAGAUGGUGAGGUCCCUCGGGACUCCUGUGAAGGUGCUGCAUGGUUGUCGUCAGCUCGUGCCGUGAGGUGUCGGGUUAAGUCCCAUAACGAGCGCAACCCCUUUCCUCAGUUGCCAUCAGUUCGAGCUGGGCACUCUGGGGACACUGCCACCGCAAGGUGUGAGGAAGGUGGGGAUGACGUCAAAUCAGCACGGCCCUUAUGUCCGGGGCUACACACGUGUUACAAUGGGGGGUACAGAGAGCCGGUGGCGCGCAAGCUCCAUCCAAUCCUUAAAGCCCUCCUCAGUUCGGACUGGGGUCUGCAACCCGACCCCACGAAGCUGGAUUCGCUAGUAAUCGCGCAUCAGCCAUGGCGCGGUGAAUACGUUCCCGGGCCUUG